GCCGAAUGUACUAGCCCUGAAAAUGGAUGGCGCUCAAGCGUCUCACCCAUACCUCGCCCUCGGGGUAGAAACGAUGCCCCGAGGAGUAGGCGGACGUGGAGGUCGUGACGAAGCCUAGGGCGUGAGCCCGGGUCGAACGGCCUCUAGUGCAGAUCUUGGUGGUAGUAGCAAAUACUUCAAUGAGAACUUGAAGGACCGAAGUGGGGAAAGGUUCCAUGUGAACAGCGGUUGGACGUGGGUUAGUCGAUCCUAAGCCAUAGGGAAGUUCCGUUUCAAAGGCGCACUUCGCGCCGUUUGGCGAAAGGGGAGCCGGUCAAUAUUCCGGCACCUGGAUGUGGGUUUUGCGCGGCAACGCAACUGAACGCGGAGACGACGGCGGGGGCCCCGGGCAGAGUUCUCUUUUCUUCUUAACGGCCCACCACCCUGGAAACAGUUUGUCUGGAGAUAGGGUUCCAUGGCCGGAAGAGCCCAGCACCUCUGCUGGGUCCGGUGCGCCCUCGACGUCCCUUGAAAAUCCGCGGGAAGGAAUAAUUCUCACGCCAGGUCGUACUCAUAACCGCAGCAGGUCUCCAAGGUGAACAGCCUCUAGUUGAUAGAACAAUGUAGAUAAGGGAAGUCGGC
rnacentral:rRNA from 1 species